AAUCUAUCAUAGGAAUUACUAGGAUUUGGAUUAGGGUUGGCUAGGAUUUGAUUUAGGAUUUGAUUUAGAGUUUAGGGUUUAGAUUAGGGUUUGGUUAGGGUUUGAUUUAGGAUUUGGAUUAGAAUUUGGAUUAGGGUUUAGAGUUUAAUUAGGAUUUGAUUUAGGGUUUGAAUUAGGGUUUAGGGUUUGGUUAGGAUUUGAUUUAGGAUUUGGAUUAGGAUUUGGAUUAGGAUUUGGAUUAGGGUUUAGGAUUUGGUUAGAGUUUGAUUUAGGAUUUGGAUUAGGAUUUGGUUAGGAUUUGAUUUAUGGUUUGGAUUAGGAUUUGGUUAGGAUUUGAUUUAUGGUUUAGUUUAGGAUUUAAGAUUUGGAUUAGGAUUUAGGGUUGGAUUAGAGUUUGGAUUAGGGUUUGAUUUAGGGUUUGGUUUAGGAUUUAGGGUUUGAAAUAGGGUUUCAUUUAAAGUUUGUUUAGGAUUUGACUUAGGAUUUAGGAUUUAUUAGGGUUUAAGAUUUAAUUAGGUUUGGUCUAAAGUUUGAGUGAAAUUCAAUAGGGUUUUAACUAGAAUUAAAUUAAGGUUGAAUGGACAUAUAUUUGAGUAAUAUUUGUGAUCAUUCUAAUAUUUCUUUAAGAAUUUUAUUGUUUGUUUGAAAUUUCUUUGAGUUGUUUUGAAUUUGAUUACGUUUGUUUACCAUUAUUAUAGUCUAAUUAGAGCAUUGUUAGUAUUCUAUUAGAAUUAGGAUUUUGUUAUUGCAAUUUCUAUUCUU
rnacentral:lncRNA from 1 species